rnacentral:lncRNA from 1 species
AUGAGAAGGCGCAGAGGUGGAGGGUGUUUCUAUCAAUCAAAUAGUAUGGGGCUGGGGUGCAGGUGGGAAAAGGUAGCAGGGGGAGGCCGGUGUGGGGUGAAGCGCCAGGCUGUGAACCCUGGUUUUAGCCCUCCCUGCGGAGAAGGGACACCAAACUGCGGCACGGCCCUGCGUAGCGGCGACGAGAGCAGCGGCGGUGGCGAAGGCGCCACCGCCUCAGACACUCCAGCCUUGCAUCCUCAUCCCGAGAUCCAGGGCAAGGCGUUCAGUUCCCAGGAACGGGGGGUCUCCAGCUCGGACAGUUGCCCCCACCCCGUACUCUCCCGGCUUCCCGCAGCGGCAGUCUCCACAGCAGACACAAUCUCUCCUUCCUCCGCCGGUUGUUCUCUAAUCACCGAGACUAAAGCUGGAGUCCAAGCCGCCUCCGGCGUCCGCGAUGCUCGGUGGCCGGGGGCGUCCCUGGGGGCCCGGGAGGUCUCGGCUGGCCGGUGCUGCGUCUCCUCAUGCCUGGCGAGGCCCCGGCGCACAGCGACGGUAGCAGGAGCCAAGCGACAGCGGGGAAAACCCGGAAAGCAGCGAGGCUACCGGGAGAAUCCCUCCCGGGACUGGCGCACGAACCCGAGGUCCUGCAGCCGCCGCAGCCGCCGCCGCCGCCGCCGCCUCCUCCCCUUCCAGGUGCUGUCCCGGCCGCAGGGGCAGCAGCAGCAGCAGCAGCAGCAUCCCCGCUUCCCAGCCCCGGGCGUUGAAGCUGAGAAAGGAGACAAGCCAGGCUGAAGGAGAGAUUUUGAACUUUAUUUCUCUCUGGGGUUAAACUGAGAGACCUUGCUGAUUUUGAAGAAGAAGAAGAAAGAAGAUUAAAAAAAAAAACUUGUCCUCCAUCUCUGACUGUCCCUCUGUCACACUUGUGACUUCCCAAACCCUCAAUUUUCCCUCACUUAGAUUAGGGACAUCCUCAUCCCUGUCUCCUCAAUUUCCCAUCCUGUUAUCCCAAUAAACCCCUUGACUUGAAAGAGGAAAAGAAAAGA